rnacentral:misc_RNA from 1 species
CAACCCUCAAGCUCUGCUUGGUAUUGGGCGUCACCGCUUUGGUGCACCCUAAAAUCAGUGGCGGUGUCACCUGGCUCCUAGCGUAGUAAUACGUCUCGCUAUCGAGCUUAGGUGUAUGCUUGCCAUCAACCCCUAAUUUCAAA